rnacentral:lncRNA from 1 species
UUUUUAUUUUUCUUUUAUUUCUCUUUCUUGCCGUGGCCACCGUUAACCGCCCAGAGCCACCACCCAACGCCGGCCACCAUUGCUGCCGCUGUUAGCCACUGCCGUCAACCGCCUCCGCUGCCAGUCACUGCCACCGUCGUCGCCACCACCGUCACUACCGCUGCCGGUUGCCGCCGCCACGAGCUGGUCGCCGGCGAUGGUGCAGUAGCGGCGGCCAGCGGUGACGAUCCGUGAGCAAGAAUAAAAAAUAAAUAAAUACAAAAAAGAAAUUAUUGUAUUACCAAACGCAUUUAUAUUCUUUUUUUAUUUUAAGAAUAGAAAUUUUGUAUAGUUACGAGUUCUUUUACUUAGAAAUUAUUCUCCAGAACAGAAAUAGAAAAGAACUAUUUCUGGAAAAAAAAAAAAAUCUUCCCUAAAACAGAAGCGUUAUCAUGUGCAGCCUCGACUUAUUCAUCUGUAGUCGUCAUCAUCCUACCUUUCUUGAUUCGAAGCACUUUUGUGGUUCGCAUAUCUCGAUUCAACGCGGGUUGAGGAUUGAAAAUGCUCGGUCGGGCAAAACGUUUAAAUUUUGUGUGGUGGAUUGAGAGCAAAUGUCCGGUCUAUUAGACCUUUAUGGUCUGGAAGCAGCCUAUAGCGACUGGCGGAAGACCGCUCGGCUAGUGUCAAAAUUCAAGGUGGGGUUGCCGAUUGUUGUUUGCUUUGUGAAAGCGGAUUUGUGUUAUCUUCAUAAAGGGGCUCUCUUUUUUCAAUGGCCAUAGAAACUUUCGAUCUAGAGAAUUAUCUAAUCAAUUCUAAACUUAUCAUGCGGAUAUCAAUUGAAUUCUUAAUUUUCUGAUUUUUGCUAACUUAUUAGUUUUAAAAUAUUUGCGUAAAAUUUCAAUAUAUUAUUCCUAAUCAACUAUUGUCAUAAAUCCCUAAUGUGACGGAAAUCGCCAAGUUAGCAAUUUUCAAAAAAAAAAAGGUUGGAAGGAUUAUAUUGAAAUAUGGCACAAAAAUUUAGGAUUAAAUUGAUCAAAUCAAAAAGUUUAGAACUAAAUUGGUAAUUGUAUAAUAAUUUUAGAAUUGAUCAAAUAAUGUUGCUCCUAAUUUCUUAUCUUACUCAUCACAUCACUGAGCAAUCACCAACUCAAAGGAUUUAGAGUUAGUGGACAUUUGCCUUUCUAUCAGGUCCAAGACAAAUUCCUUUUUCUUCCCUAGCGUAUAGACCCGAUUGGAUUACCAAACACGAGUUGAACGGGUCGGUCGAACACUCGCCGGCCAAUUUACGAUACUAAUUCUCCAAUUGAGGAGGCCUAAUAUAACUGGGGGGAAAUAGGGAAGUUUCAUUCAAACGUACCCCCAAUAAAGCUUAUGAAGUAAAAGUAGAAAUUAAUGCUUUCCACCAUUAAUCAAUUAGGGAAAAUGACAUGGACCGAAUUUGGUCAAAUUGUGCACUGUCGCCUUUGGAAUUUUUAAUCCAUUUAAUAUGAUAUUUAAACAAUUCAUAAAUAUUUGUUCCAAUCCUUAAAAUUUCAGUUAUUCAAUCUAAUCCGUCAACUUAUGUAAACAAAGUCAAAUCAGACUUUGAAUACUAUUCACGAGCUCACAUAAACAUACUACUAAUUGGAUUCUAGAAUAUCUUUUCAUUCUAGUCCAUUUCUCAAAUAAAUAAAUAAAUAAGCUUUUUUUAUUACCUUCUAACCUUCUUGAUCCCGUCUAUAAUUCCAUCUAUGUACGUCUCGUCUCAGCUUAUAAUUUCUAUAAUAAUAGGUAGGAUCUCAUUUUAAGUUAUACUUAUAUCAUAUUGGCAUUCGUUUUUAUUUUAAGUCAACUGAAUGUCAAUAUGAUAUAAGUUUCGAGAGUGGGUUGCGACUCCUACGCCCUGCAAGAGGUAGGGCACAAGUUUGCGAGUGAGUGUAGAGUAGGCAUAGAGUAGGACUGACAAAAAAAAAAAAAAAACUGAAUGUCGAGUCAUUUGAUAAUAAUAACCCUCCAAUUACGUCGGACUUUUAAAUAAUUAGAAUAUGGAAAAAACAGGAAAGAUGCAUUCAAACCUACCAAAUAAAGCCUCCGGAGAUUAAAAAAGCAGCAGAAAUUAACAACUUCCACCGCUAAUUAAUUCUCCCCGUCUAAGAAACGCUGCCAUUUAAAAAAAAAAACCAAAAAAGAAAAAAAAAAUCGCAGCCGAUACGACACGCUCCCUUCAUCCGUUGAACAACAGGUGCAACGGACACGUGGCAGCCCAUCUCGCAGGGUCCACGCUCCACGGAUCUGGUCCCCCCCGCACCAGAUCUCCACCUCCUCCGGGGCGUGGGGCCCCGCGGACUCCAAACCCCCCUAUCAAAUCCGCCUCAAUGCCGGCUACGAGUCCGAUGGACCCCUCUAUAAAUGCGGAUGCAGACAUAGCUCCGAAUCUGCAGGCGCUCCGCUCUACCUUUUGAGGAACCUUCCGAUUGCCUCGUCUUCAACGACCGGUCUCCCCUCGUCGCCCCGCCGCACCGUCUGGCCAUGGCCCCGAUCGCCGUCGGCGACGCCAUCCCCGACGGCACCCUCGCCUACUUCGACGAGCAGGACCAGCUCCAGCAGGUCUCCGUGCACUCCCUCGCCGCCGGCAAGAAGGCCGUCCUCUUCGCCGUCCCCGGCGCCUUCACCCCGACUUGCAGGUGAGGGCCGCCGACUGCUUUUUUCUUUCUCGCCGUUCCCUCGUCCUGCGUCGCCGCCGGUUUGCGGUAGCGCGCGGGAGGGGAGGGAGAGCGGGGGUGAAUCGCAGCGUGAAUCGUUGGGAAUUCUUUGCCUAAAUUGACGGUUUCAUUUCUGUUUUCUAGAAUGUUCUGUAUUUCUUGAGUAGUGUGGAAGUGGUGUUCGAUGCGAUUAGUUUCGUACGGUCGUGGCGAGGCUGUUAGAUGUUUGUUUGGACCGAAACGAGUCAUGAUUCGUGAGCACCUGAAUUCGUUUGGAAAAUAGUGCAUUAUGCUACGGCCUGCUCGAUUAAAGAUGAGGUUUUUGGAGUGAAUAACGCUGGAAUUGUCACUAGCGAUUGUAGCUUCGAUCUUGCGGUAUUACCGUUGUUUGUAUCGUUCGAUUUGCAGUCUGAAGCACGUGCCGGGCUUCAUUGAGAACGCCGAGCUGCUGAAAUCCAAGGGUGUGGAUGAGAUUCUGUGUCUCAGCGGUAUAUUCUUUAUCUUUUUCCGUCUCUGUGCGAUUUCUUUCGUUCUUUUUUUUUUCAGAGUUUGUGGACGAUCGUUCCUCUUUAUUUGUCGUCUAAUAUCGGCGUUUCUUGCUAUAUCCGCCGAUGCUUUGUUUUAAAGGUUACACCUAAUGUUUCUGUCCUUACUAUUGAGUAAUGUAGUGUAGCGCAUCUGCUCGUUAGUGACGAGGUAAAGAAGCUAUCUUCAGUGAGUCGCCAAAUAUAAUGGUUUCAGCAAGCAUCAAGAAUCUUAAACUUAUAAUAACGGGGAUUGGGGACUGUACUGGUUUUCUGGAGAUUACAAGGAAAUGCAAAAGGGACUCCAGUUUUGACUUUGAGCAGUUCUUUUGAGGCAUUAGUCAGUAGUUGACCAUUUCUUGUAGCGUUGCUUUCGUCACCCAAUUGCUUGCCCAAUUAUUAGUUGGGAGUAUUCACGAGUUGACUUUAAGCAGUUGUUACGAGGCAUCAGUCAGGAGAUAAAUAUAUCAUGUGUGAUAUUUUUCCUUGUUGCCGCUCUUCAAAAUCCACUUGCCGCUCUAUCCAUUAAAUAGUUACAAACUGUUCUGGAUAGCUUGCCUUCAGGCUUGGUAGUGUAGUUGGUGUAAGUCUAAUUCCAUCUAAAAUUGUGCCUUGUGGUCAAGAGAGAUCCGAUCAUCUUGGCCUGGAAUCUUCUUGGGAAUCUUUAAAUGGAUGUGAUUGGACACUCUCUCCCUCUCUGGGCGGGCCAUGUGGUUUUACUUUUCAAUCAAACUAUUAUGCUUAUUAACCAAAUGCUGGAUUGCUAAUGACACAGUGAGUUCAAGAUCCUGCUUGGGAAACAACUACAGAAAGCUAGUCCAAAAAGAACUCGGUUUCUGGGUCCUAGGACACUUGAAAGAGCUUGAAUUGAAACUUUGCACCGUCAUUAGUGAAAAUAUGGCUUUGCUUAACGCUCUCGUAUCUUUACUUCUCUUGACUUUACUGCUGACCUUCCACCCCAUACUGAGGAUAUGUGGCUGUGUGAAUUCCAUAUUUGAUUCCAGAGUUGAGCUCCUAGAUGUUGUAUGGAGUCUAUUAAAGAGUUUGCGCCAUCCUUUAGUUAAUAAAACGUGCUAGCUUUAGAACAGAUGGCAGUUUGUCUGUCUUAGGUAAUCCAGUCCUACCAUGUGUUUUUUGUUUUUUUCCCCUGAAUAUCGUGAUGCUCAUUUUGGUCCUAUUUUUCAGUGAAUGACCCAUUUGUGAUGAAGGCGUGGGCGAAGACUUACCCCGAGAACAAGCAUGUAAAGUUCUUGGCAGAUGGUUCGGCGAAAUACACCCAUGCUCUUGGCCUCGAGCUUGACCUAAGUGAGAAGGGGCUUGGGACUCGCUCCAGGAGAUUUGCUCUCUUGGUCGAGGAUCUCAAGGUGAAGGCAGCCAACAUCGAAUCCGGGGGAGAGUUCACCGUCUCCGGUGCUGAUGAAAUCCUUAAAGCUCUCUGAGUUUUUUGCAUCUCUCAACAGCAGCAUGGUUUUGGAGUCUUUGAGCUCUGUGUUUGUUGUCAUACCGCUGUUAGCCUUGUGUUAAACCCGCAGUAUAGCGGGCCUAUAUAUCUUGACUCUCA